rnacentral:rRNA from 1 species
AGCGAACGCUGGCGGCAGGCUUAACACAUGCAAGUCGAACGGGCUUCUUCGGCAGUCAGUGGCAGACGAGUGAGUAACACGUGGGAACGUGCGCUUCGGUUCGGCAUAACUCAGGGAAACUUGAGCUAAUACCGGAAACGCCCUUUUGGGGAAAGGUCGACUGCAGCAGGAUAGGCCCGCGUCUGAUUAGCUUGUUGGUGGGGUAACGGCCUACCAAGGCGACGAUCAGUAGCUGGUCUGAGAGGAUGAUCAGCCACACUGGGACUGAGACACGGCCCAGACUCCUACGGGAGGCAGCAGUGGGGAAUAUUGGACAAUGGGCGCAAGCCUGAUCCAGCCAUGCCGCGUGAGUGAUGAAGGCCUUAGGGUUGUAAAGCUCUUUUGUCCGGGACGAUAAUGACGGUACCGGAAGAAUAAGCCCCGGCUAACUUCGUG